ensembl:lncRNA
UUUGUUGUAUUGUUUAUUUUAAUAUUGAAUAUUAAUAAGGGGCAGGGGUUAUUGGCAAACUCUUCUACGAAACUGUUGCAAAAUUAUGUGAUAAUUCAAUUGAGACACCAUUGUGACAUGUUUUUUUUUUUGUAAGCAUACUUCAAUGACACGCUCUAUACUGUAGUGUAGCACCAUAGAACAUCUCAAAAACACUCAUGUUGUUUACAUACAGUAUUGAUGAUGACCAAUUAACAUGUUCACUAUUCCGAAUAAGGCAGAGAAGCCUGCGUAAAAAUCUUUAGUUCUCCUUAAAUAUGACUUCUGCAUGGCUCCCUUUUCCUCCAUCUGGACGUGAUGUUGAUCUGACUGAAGAUUACAGACAUGACUUAGUCCAUCCAUUUACUUGGCAUACAUUUGAGAGGGGUGCUGCAUUUGAGUGACAUUUGUGUGUGAGGAAUACACCACUGAAUAAUAAAUGCAUUGUCCAUGGAAACAAACGGAAAAAAAACAACCAACCCACCAACAACAAUAGUAGCAACAACAAUAACAACAACAACAUCAACAAAGUAAACAAGGGGAUGGUUUAAAUGAAAGGUGGUCAUAUUUGGAAGUAGAUCGUUCAACAAAGCCUGAGUGUCACAGCUUGUUUAAUUCUUUUUUUUUUGUCCUCUGUCCCCACUGACAAACCCUUUCUUCAGCUCAACAGUGGCGACGGUCUCUUUUGCCCACACUAUCUACCCCCUGCACAAUUAAAACUUCUUAAGCUGUAAGAAAAUAAAGUAGGUUCUGAUUUGUAUCAUAUAAAAAAAUGUUUCCACAAUAAGGAUUAUGUUUGAAACUUCAGAGGUAAACGUCUAACCUAGCCGAAGAGGAGGUCUCUAGAAUCUUUUGUUUACUGCAAAGCAAGAACUGAUUGGUUAUCGCCAGGGGUAACACAUGGUGAACCCCUGUGUGAUAAUGACAUUACAAACCAUUUAUAUUCAUUCUCACUUGCAUCCACUAAAUCUGUCUCCCACAACACGCACUCACUCACACAUUUUCACACACACACUCACUCACACAUUCUCUCACACACACACACACAAAGUGUUGCACACAUUACACUUUACCUGAACUGUGCAGACAUUCUCCAAAAUCUAAACACUGUAUGCAGCAUGUACAUAGAGAGACGUAAACCACACUGUAAAGAACACAUUCCCUCCCACACACUCACGCACGUGCACACUCACGCACGCACGCGCACACACACACACACACACACACACACACACACACACACACACACACACACACAAACACUGAAAAGCAUAGUGUAAGAUCCAACUGACGCAAAGGCUUGCAUUAGAUAUGGCUUACUGUGACUGUGUAGCUGUGGGUUAGGGUUAAAGCAGAGGCUGCUCAGGGGCCCCCCUCCUUCCCUCACUCAAAUCCUGUGACCAUUCCGGAGCAGAGGAUGGACCGUGUGUGUAUACCUAUACCUGAGAGACACGAAGAAGCAUGCGUACCAUUCUGUAGCUUCAACAUCUUUUGCAAGUUAUGGAAGAAACCUGGGCUGGAAGCGCGUACUCUCUCUCUCUCACACACACACACACACAUACACACUCUAGUGCUCCAACAAAUACAUGUGCUUGCAUACAUACAUUAUCCUAGGGUGUAUAUUUUAAAAGACUGGCGGCACAGAAAGUGGGGGAGCAUGUUUUAGUGUGUUUCAUCACAGUAAGUGCUAGAAAAUAUAUUGGGGAGUGGGUAGGGUAUGAUUUGGUAUAACUAUAUUUAAAAAAUCAGUCCUAAGCCUAUGUUAGGUUUUACAACUACUGGCUUUAACGAUUUAACAGGUAGUUUCAAAAACACCGUAAAGUUCUUACUAGUUCACCUGUUGGCACUUCAUUGUAUAGAGAUUUUUAACUUUUUACAGGUAUAUUCAAGCAUGUUUAAUCUAAGAUUCUUCUAGAAGAAGGGCUAAUUUUAUGCAGUUACAUUUAUAUACCUAUAAGAAAAAGAACAUCCAUUGAAGUUCCCCAAGUGUUCCAUUCAAUCCUAAAUCCCAUAUUAAACAAACUGUGACACCCCCCCAAAAAAUCUGUAGAAGCUCUAGAUUAAAAUUUAAAAUGUUAAAUCUUUAGCAUUUCUGAACUUUCUCAAUUUCCCCCUGUUCAGAACAAUACUACUACAAAAAAAAAAAUUAAAACAUUAAAAAUCAAAAUUAAGAGCCAUAAAAGUUUACACUGGUCAUGCAUCUUAUAAAAUACUCACUUCUCUUGUUCCUUUAUGUCUAGAUAUUUACAGGUUAUGUUACACAGGGACUGUACAGAGGCAGAGUCUGUUUGACAUCCACUGUUCAGUCAAACCCCUUAGGUGCACUACACCAUCCAGAGACACAGGGGCCCUCUGAGCUUUUGGUGAAGAUGACAAACAACAGUUUUUUUCUCCAUUUGAAUAAAUAAUUAUUACUCUUUUAAAAAAAAAAAAAAACAGGAACACC